UACGGCUGGUCGGAAGAUAUUCGGCUUACCACCGUAUAUCGUGAGGCGCAGUACAGAUACCCGACACAAGGGUAUCGGGGUCCGACUUAUCGGUGCUCCCUCGACUGAAUGCGCCGGACGACAUUCGACUGAACGCAUCGGAAGAGACCCGACUACUGAACCUUUAUCACGGUUGGUCGGCUUCCGACUCAACAAACGCGCUCGACUCACGGUCGGGGAAAGGACGCCCGACUGACGACCUUGAUUAUCAAAGGCCGAUCAAAAGUCGGGACUUGUCCUACCUUCAUGGCGAUGCGAGUUGCCAAACGUCCUAACCGACCUAUCUGAGUUAGCGACUUACGAAGGCAUUCUAUGACACAUAAGAGAAAGGAAAACAAGC
rnacentral:lncRNA from 1 species